UUCAACCAGUUUUUCUGUGUGCUGUAAACACGGUGUUCUCACACGGUGUUCUCACACGGUGUUCUCGGCUUGAGACUUACGUGAUUCUGAGGAGGCGAGUCUAGCCAACACAUCUUGUCCUGCUUACCAUUACUGCUACUGGUGUCGACACGGUGCUUUAUCAGACGGCAAACAUGGAGAAAGAUGGAAGGUCAAGGUCGUUAAGUGGGUCAUUGACACAACAGACUGACCACAGUGUGUGUCCAGAUGGGUCUCCAUUCUCAUGUAGUGAUGUGUCACCACUCUCAUGUAGUGAUGUGUCACCAUUCUCAUGUGGUGAUGUCUCACCAGUACCCAGCACCAUACGACCCCUGCUGUGUGUGGUGAAUUUGUUGAAUGGUGAUGUACACAAGGUGACGGUAGAGAAACAUGCAAGGGGUCAGCUGUUGUUUGAUAAAGUGUGCGCCCAUCUACAGUUGUCAGAGAGGGACUAUUUUGGUUUGACAUACAGCAAGGGAGCUAAUCAAACAUGUGGCAAGGGAGAUAAUCAG